rnacentral:rRNA from 1 species
GACGAACGCUGGCGGCGUGCUUAACACAUGCAAGUCGAACGGAAAGGCCCUGCUUUUGUGGGGUGCUCGAGUGGCGAACGGGUGAGUAACACGUGAGUAACCUGCCCUUGACUUUGGGAUAACUUCAGGAAACUGGGGCUAAUACCGGAUAGGAGCUCCUGCUGCAUGGUGGGGGUUGGAAAGUUUCGGCGGUUGGGGAUGGACUCGCGGCUUAUCAGCUUGUUGGUGGGGUAGUGGCUUACCAAGGCCUUGACGGGUAGCCGGCCUGAGAGGGUGACCGGCCACAUUGGGACUGAGAUACGGCCCAGACUCCUACGGGAGGCAGCAGUGGGGAAUAUUGCACAAUGGGCGGAAGCCUGAUGCAGCAACGCCGCGUGCGGGAUGACGGCCUUCGGGUUGUAAACCGCUUUCGCCUGUGACAAAGCGUGAGUGACGGUAAUGGGUAAAGAAGCACCGGCUAACUACGUG